rnacentral:rRNA from 1 species
AGCAGCCGCGGUAAUUCCAGCUCCAAUAGCGUAUAUUAAAGUUGUUGCAGUUAAAAAGCUCGUAGUUGAAUUUCGGAAUCAAUGGAUCGGUCAUGCCACUCGGUGUGUACUGGUUUGAUUGGUUCUCACCUUCUAAGGAACCGUGAUGUCAUUAAUUUGGUGUCGCGGGGAAUUAGGACUGUUACCUUGAAAAAUUAGAGUGUUUAAAGCAAGCUCACGCUUGAAUACAUUAGCAUGGAAUAAUGAAAUAGGACAUUGUAUUCUAUUUUGUUGGUUUCUAGGAUCGAUGUAAUGAUUAAUAGGGAUAGUUGGGGGCAUUAGUAUUCAAUUGUCAGAGGUGAAAUUCUUGGAUUUAUUGAAGACUAACUACUGCGAAAGCAUUUGCCAAGGAUGUUUUCAUUAAUCAAGAACGAAAGUUAGGGGAUCGAAGACGAUCAGAUACCGUCGUAGUCUUAACCAUAAACUAUGCCGACUAGGGAUCGGAUGAUGUUAAUUUUUANGACUCAUUC